rnacentral:lncRNA from 1 species
AUUUAAUUUAGGAUUUGAUUUCAAGGACGUUUGUGAAAGAUGUUAAAAGGCUCAAAACAUUUGGUCAAAAUAGAAUGAUAGGUCAUUGUAAAACAAUAUUCAUCUAACCAAAGUGACAAUCAAAAGGCUUUAAGGGCAACAUAGAAGGUUAUGUGGCUGUAAAAACCUUAACCCUUUUAAAUCUGAGGUUUUUUAAGCUAUUUUGUUUGCCUUAGUAGGUAAUCCAAGAAAGGCAAUGGACCAAAAUUUGGCUAAAGCAGUCUUUAUGGCAGUUCAGUUUUGUUUUUUAUUUUACUUUAAGUUCCAGGAUACAAGUGCAGAACGUGUAGGCUCGUUACAUAGGUAUAUAUGUGCCAUGGUGGUUUGCUGCAUCUAUCAACUGUCAUCUAGGUUUUAAGCCCCACAUGCAUUAGCUAUUUGUCCUAAUGCUCUCUCCCCCCUUGCCCCCCACCUGCCAACUGGCCCUGGUGUGUGUUGUUCCCUUCC